rnacentral:rRNA from 1 species
UACGUAGGCAGCAAGCGUUGUUCGGAGUUACUGGGCGUAAAGGGUGCGUAGGCGGCCCUGUAAGUAUGGUGUGAAAUCUCCCGGCUUAACUGGGAGGGUGCGCUAUAGACUGCGGGGCUCGAGUGUGGGAGAGGAAAGUGGAAUUCCUGGUGUAGCGGUGAAAUGCGUAGAUAUCAGGAGGAACACCGGUGGUGUAAACGGCUUUCUGGACCAUAACUGACGCUGAGGCACGAAAGCGUGGGUAGCAAACAAG